UACGUAGGUGGCAAGCGUUGUCCGGAUUUAUUGGGUUUAAAGGGUGCGUAGGCGGUCUAUUAAGUCAGUGGUGAAAGCUCCAUGCUUAACAUGGAAAUUGCCAUUGAUACUGAUGAGCUUGAGUAGAUUUGAAGUGGGCGGAAUGUGUCGUGUAGCGGUGAAAUGCUUAGAUAUGACACAGAACACCGAUUGCGUAGGCAGCUCACUAAACUCUUACUGACGCUGAGGCACGAAAGCAUGGGGAUCAAACAGG
rnacentral:rRNA from 1 species